CAAACUUGUAAACCGCUGGUACCCACCAAUCUCACUUGCCUUUAGUGUUUGCUCUUGCUCACGACUAUUCUAGCUGCGGGCUUAUAACAGCAAGUCAACUUCCCUGUUCUUCAAAUUUUACGAUUGGCAACCUUUAGCAAACUUGGGUUCCUACCCUUUCUUAUAAUACGUGAGUUUCCACAUUAAUGUGGAUGCAGGAGGUACACGUCAAGUAAUAUGGCCUUGAUGUCCUGGCCGACACACACGCUACAAUGGGUGACACAAAGGGGGUCCAACCCUCGAGGGGGUGCCAAUCCCGGCAAACUCGCUUCAGUUCGGAUUCAGGCUGCAGCCCGCGGCAUUAGCAGGAGUUGUUAGUAACCGUGGGUCAGCACUUUUCCGGCAAUAUUUCGCGAGUCUUGUACACACCGCCCGUCACACCCAAAAGUCGUCAACUCAUAAAGGCGCUGGGCCAACCCUUUGAGAGGGAGGCAGGCGGAGAGGGGGGGUCGGGAUUGGGUGAAGUCGAACAACCACCAGGGGCGAAAUCCAAGAGCC
rnacentral:rRNA from 1 species